UGAGUUUUCGUUGUUUAACGCCU
rnacentral:snRNA from 1 species